AGUGAACGCUGGCGGUAGGCCUAACACAUGCAAGUCGAACGGCAGCACAGUAAGAGCUUGCUCUUACGGGUGGCGAGUGGCGGACGGGUGAGGAAUACAUCGGAAUCUACUUUUUCGUGGGGGAUAACGUAGGGAAACUUACGCUAAUACCGCAUACGACCUACGGGUGAAAGCAGGGGAUCUUCGGACCUUGCGCGAUUGAAUGAGCCGAUGUCGGAUUAGCUAGUUGGCGGGGUAAAGGCCCACCAAGGCGACGAUCCGUAGCUGGUCUGAGAGGAUGAUCAGCCACAUGGGAACUGAGACACGGUCCAGAGUCCUACGGGAGGCAGCAGUGGGGAAUAUUGGACAAUGGGCGCAAGCCUGAUCCAGCCAUACCGCGUGGGUGAAGAAGGCCUUCGGGUUGUAAAGCCCUUUUGUUGGGAAAGAAAAGCAGCAGGUUAAUACCCCGCUGUUCCGACGGUACCCAAAGAAUAAGCACCGGCUAACUUCGUG
rnacentral:rRNA from 1 species